CACUAAUCGAUUUGGUUCAAUUUUCAUGCGAUAAGACGUAAUUUUAUUUGAUUAUCCACAUUAUUCACAACAGUUUUCAUUACAUUUGAUUUGAAAUCGAUUUUAUCGGAUUUUUCCCAUUUUCCAAGUUUUGGUCUGGUUUUCGUCGGUUUUAUGCUUUCCAUUUUCAUCAAAAUGGCAAAAAUCCGAAAUAUCCGAAAAAAUCGAACAUAAUGACGAAAAUCGUCUGAGAAUCGCCCAAUACCGUUUAAAAUCGCUAAAAGCGUUUCGACGUCGCGACGCCGAAUUUGACAGCUCUUCCACCUAACAAAUCAGCUGCGUCGAUCCAUCAGCUGUUCAAUCAAAACAAGUUCUGAGUUGAAUCCACAGUUCAACAACUAUGAACCUGAGCUAUGAACUAUCUCAGGAAUUUAGACUGACCAAACGACACCAUGUGGAAGGCGUCUUGAGGCGCAAAAACCGGAAUUAGGAGUAACGGUUCCGAUCGGCACUGGAAGAGGAACAGCGGAGAUCAUUAGCAAAUUGCAUUGGCUGAAUCUGUCAGAACUGGGUGGAAAACUGCCAAAAAAGGAUUACCAAGCAAAUCGGAAGAGCCCUCAGACGAGUACCGCAGGAUUAUUUGGAAUAGCUACCAGCGGUUACCAGUAAACCGGUUUUACGAACACCUCUGGACAGCCCCAUUUUCGGAGGAUUCGCUGCUCAGAUUCAAACCGACAGCCGGAGGAUUGCUCUCGGAAACUGCCAUUACCUCGGCCAUUACGCAAUGAUGAGAGCGCUGAAAGUGUGUCAGCUUUUUCUACAAAAUUGCUUCGUCAAAUGUGUCUAAUUUCAGAUAAAUAAGAACUAAAUAAAAAUAGCAUGCAUUGUUAGAUAAAUCUAUUUUUUUCUGUUUGGUUUAAAAAAAAAACAAGGUGGGUUAAAAUAAGACGCUUGUUGAGAAAAGCUUUUUUCACGAGUCUCACAAUAUAAUAUGUAGUA